AGCUCCGAGGUGUUUUACAUGCCAGAUUGCAAAUCUGAAGUAGCAGGCUAACCCCCUGCCGGGGCUU
rnacentral:tRNA from 1 species